CUAGAGAUAGAGUCUUCCCCUUCGGGGGACAAAGUGACAGGUGGUGCAUGGUUGUCGUCAGCUCGUGUCGUGAGAUGUUGGGUUAAGUCCCGCAACGAGCGCAACCCUUAAGCUUAGUUGCCAGCAUUAAGUUGGGCACUCUAAGUUGACUGCCGGUGACAAACCGGAGGAAGGUGGGGAUGACGUCAAAUCAUCAUGCCCCUUAUGAUUUGGGCUACACACGUGCUACAAUGGACAAUACAAAGGGCAGCUAAACCGCGAGGUCAUGCAAAUCCCAUAAAGUUGUUCUCAGUUCGGAUUGUAGUCUGCAACUCGACUACAUGAAGCUGGAAUCGCUAGUAAUCGUAGAUCAGCAUGCUACGGUGAAUACGUUCCCGGGUCUUGUACACACCGCCCGUCACACCACGAGAGUCUGUAACACCCGAAGCCGGUGGAGUAACCAUUUAUGGAGCUAGCCGUCGAAGGUGGGACAAAUGAUUGGGGUGAAGUCAUAACAAGGUAGCCGUAUCGGAAG
rnacentral:rRNA from 1 species